CUUACCGUCAGAUGGACAGGCCGCUGUCGCAUUGAUCUGAGUCACCAGCCAUUUCUUUUCAAAGGCCGUAGAGGUUUUCAGCACCGUCAUUGGCACCGCGUCUAUCUGCAUGGGGAGAUUGAUAACAUCAUGUGAUCAAAAUUCAAUAGGCUGCAAGUACAAGAAAGCAAUCAGUCAUCAAGUGGGCCGCGAGUAAUUUACCCAGAACCCCCCGGGAUGGUUGAGGUGACAAACUGGGCUCAUUCUCAGUUUAAUUCAGUGAAGCACGUUCCAACUCACUGCCUGGGAGAACGUUUCAGUUGCAGUCUUGGAGCUUCGCAGCACCAGCCUCGUCAGAGUGUUUCCAAUCCCAUAACCUCUUCUCUGAGCCGCCGUCACGGUCAUGGUCGUCUCCUUCUCGGGAGUGAAGAACACGAUGGAGGCCAUUCUGAAUCCAGCGUCUAAAGGCUCUUUCUGUCACACAAAUAAUAGAGAAAUGCAUGGAAUACACACACGCGUCCGGAUUAUUGAGCGGGACAGGAUGAGCUGGUCUGACCUUUGCAGGUUGCUGAGCGUUAGGAGACUUAGAGUUGGAACCUGACAUGGACUUCGCAGGCAGGGAAUAAUCUUCGGGAGCUGUCCUCUCUACAGACACCUGGAAGGAAGGAAGGAAGGAGAAACUGCAUCUGAUAAUCCAUCUCCCUCCCUCCCUCCCUCUUCUACAGUGACAUCAAAAUGCUUCAUAAAGCCACUCGUCAUCAAAGACUGGAACACGACCCCAGUGUCCCGUCCUUCUGCAAUCACUUGCCUCCAUAUAAUUGCGGUCACAGACGAUUUCCCUGGAGCUCCAGUCAGAGUAGGGACAGGUUUCCUCCACAUGGUACAGCUCGUCCACAGCCAUCUGGUUCCCAUGCAGUCGAAGGUUUAAUGUUGUGGUGAACGCAUCGUCCUAUAAAACAAACCAAAAACAGGAACAAACUCAAAACUAAAUUGAUUUCCAGAGCACAUUUAAAAACAACCAAAGUGCUUUACCGAUUUAAUAUCAAUAAAAAUCAAUAUAAUUAGAGUAAAACAGUAAAAAUAGGGAGAAAAUAGAAUAGUAAAAACAUAGAAUCCUAAAAUAAGGGCCAAGGAGAAGAGGUGGGUCUUUAAAAAUGGUUUAAAAUGUUCAAUGGUGGAGGUAGAUUUGAUUUCCAUGGGUAACCCGCUACAGAAAAGGCCCGAUCGCCCCAGGCUCUAAAAUCUAAAAAGCAGCCCGUUAUCAGAGCUCAGUAUGGGGUGUGAGGAAAAAUAAGUCCUUAGAGGUAAGACGGUGCCAAACCAUUUAGAGAUUUUAAAAACCAAUAGGCCAGUGGAGAGAGGAACAACACAGUGAUGUGGUCUCUCUUCUUUUUUGUCCCCCUGUUAAAAGGCAAACGGCAGAGUUGUGGACCAGCCGGAGUCACUGGACAGAUGACUGUUCUAAUCCAACAUACAGAGAAUUACAAUAAUCCAGCUGAGAUGUUACAAAAGCAUGCUUCUCUAGCACACACACACACGGCGUCUACAGUGCUUUUUGUAUUUACCACAAUUUGGGCAAAACAGUUGUGAAGGGAGGCAUAAAUCAUGGCGCUGCCCCACUGGUCUGCCUUGAUGCUGAAGCCACACUGACUGGCCAAGCGUGGCGUGAGAAGGAUGGUGGAGUUGUCUGAGGAGGAAGAUUUAAACAAGGAGUCAGUUUGAGGACAAACAGAGACGGCGUCAACAAAAAAGAAAAGAAAGAAGUCUGAAAUGUCGAAUUUACUCAUGACUACAGCAACUUCAAGAAACUUCCCUCCGAGUGGACCCACAUCCACACGCAUGAUGUUCCCCAGGCAUGAUGUGACGAUAUCUGAGACCGAAAAGAGAAUUUAUUUAAGAUUAAGAGUUGAAAAAUAUGAACUGUGUUCAAAAAAAAAAAAAAAAUGGAUACAGACUUACUUCUUGGUGAAGUCUUUUGAGCUGCUGUGUUUACAGCCACUGCUAUUAGAAGAACAAGCCACCUGCAAGAGAUUUAAUCCGUGUUUGUAAAAUGGGAAACUUUGACCAAAGAGAAAUGGACUGGAACCGAAAAACACACAAACCUUGAUUUAAAUAAACAGGCCAUGGCUCAAGAGGCGUGACACUGUUAACCUUA